AGGUAGCGAAAUUCCUUGUCGGGUAAGUUCCGACCUGCACGAAUGGCGUAACGAUGGCCACACUGUCUCCUCCUGAGACUCAGCGAAGUUGAAAUGUUUGUGAUGAUGCAAUCUCCCCGCGGAUAGACGGAAAGACCCCAUGAACCUUUACUGUAGCUUUGUAUUGGACUUUGAACAGAUCUGUGUAGGAUAGGUGGGAGGCUUUGAAGUGGCGACGCCAGUUGCUACGGAGCCGCUGUUGAAAUACCACCCUGGUGUGUUUGAGGUUCUAACCUUCGCCCUUGAAUCAGGGCGGGGAACAGUGCAUGGUAGGCAGUUUGACUGGGGCGGUCUCCUCCCAAAGCGUAACGGAGGAGUUCGAAGGUACGCUAGUUACGGUCGGACAUCGUGACGAUAGUGCAAUGGCGCAAGCGUGCUUAACUGCGAGACUGACAAGUCGAGCAGGUGCGAAAGCAGGACAUAGUGAUCCGGUGGUUCUGUAUGGAAGGGCCAUCGCUCAACGGAUAAAAGGUACUCCGGGGAUAACAGGCUGAUUCCGCCCAAGAGUUCAUAUCGACGGCGGAGUUUGGCACCUCGAUGUCGGCUCAUCACAUCCUGGGGCUGUAGUCGGUCCCAAGGGUAUGGCUGUUCGCCAUUUAAAGUGGUACGUGAGCUGGGUUUAAAACGUCGUGAGACAGUUUGGUCCCUAUCUGCAGUGGGCGUUGGAAGUUUGACGGGGGCUGCUCCUAGUACGAGAGGACCGGAGUGGACGAACCUCUGGUGUACCGGUUGUAACGCCAGUUGCAUAGCCGGGUAGCUAAGUUCGGAAGAGAUAAGCGCUGAAAGCAUCUAAGCGCGAAACUCGCCUGAAGAUGAGACUUCCCUUGUGGUUUAACCACACUAAAGAGUCGUUCGAGACCAGGACGUUGAUAGGUGGGGUGUGGAAGCGCGGUAACGCGUGAAGCUAACCCAUACUAAUUGCUCGUGAGGCUUGACUCU
rnacentral:rRNA from 1 species